GGACUACAGGGGUAUCUAAUCCCGUUUGCUCCCCUGGCCUUCGUGCCUCAGUGUCAGUAACUGUCCAGAGAUCCGCCUUCGCCACUGGUCUUCCUUACGAUAUCUACGCAUUUCACUGCUACACCGUAAAUUCCAAUCUCCUCUCCAGUACUCUAGCAAGGCAGUAUUGAAUGCAGUUCCGGGGUUAAGCCCCGGGAUUUCACAUCCAACUUACCUCGCCACCUACGCACCCUUUACGCCCAAUGAAUCCGAACAACGCUUGAGACCUCUGUAUUACCGCGGCUGCUGGCAC
rnacentral:rRNA from 1 species